UAUGCGAUGCCCAACCGAUAGCCUGGUGCCACAGUUUUACUUCUGGGGAUACAUCCGUCCUUCCGUGUAUUCAGUGAGCUGCGUUUUUGCUGAAAUCCACUUGUUGUAGUUGGUGACACGAGUGUAAACACCUGGUUUGUUCUUCCAGGCACAGCCCUCGCCCCAGCUCACCACCCCGAACAGAAACAUCCGGCCUGAUGCUUCACACACCAACGGACCGCCAGAGUCGCCCUGCAAGGACAGUCAGCCAAUCAAUUAAGCAUGAAGCGUGUUUCUAUUGUAGAACUUUUAAAAGGUCAUAUGGAUACAGACUGUCAGUAAAAUGGAAUCAGAGGUCUUUAUACCUCAAAAUCUUUCAAUGAGUUUACUUUCAUGAUUCAGAACAUCCAAGUAUCUAGAAUUCUUCUUAUGAUUUUACUGUGAUUGAUACAAUAAAAUCAAAUGUUAGACAAUGAUACUAAAUGUUAAACCAGAAUUUGGAGUCUUUGAGGGUGAAUUAUCAGCUCUUUAAUACACAUUAAUUUCUGGUGCAAUAGAAUAAUGACAAUCAAUGAAAUGUUUCUUUCUUAAUAUGAAUGGUAAGUUCAAUUAAAAAAUAAUCUAAACACAAAAAAAACUGAGAUGUAAAGAAACUGUUAAGAGAUAUUCACGAGAUACUAGAAAGAUUUCAAACUCUGUAUUUGCAAAGAUUGAAAUUUCUUGAGGCUUACAGAUGAUAAUAAAUUCGAAUAAGAAGAGUAAGAUCACCAGAAAGGUAAUCUGUCUUAAAUUAGGAUUUGCAGCACUUUUAAAUAUCUGUGUUUCCAAAAAGAUGAGAAAAGAAUAUAUACUCAGAUGCUGUAAUCUUGCCAGAGGUCACAGACACAAAGACUGCAUAUCUGCUUAUGAGGAAACAUCUUCUGAUUUUACUCACUUCUCAUUUUGUAUCCAUUUUUAAACCAAGACUGAUGGCGUGUUGCAAGAAAUACGCCUUCAGUUUAUUCGCUUUAUGUUUAUGCAUGCAAUAUUGACACACUGGACUUUGUGCUCACCUUGCAGGCAUCAGUGCUCGAGUCAGGACUCCCAGCACAGAACAUGUUCUCAGUGAUUCUGUUUCCGUACUGCAAUUCACUUGAACAUUCAGCGUUGGAGAGCAGCUUGACGUCAGCCUGUUUCAGGCAGCUGAGUGUGAAGCGGAGGGAGGCAAACUGUCCGAACAGUAGAUGACCUCACUGCACAUCCUCCAUUUCUGCUUUUGAUCUUCACCAGUGCUGCAAAUGUAAAGAUGAACACGUGUAAAAGCAGUGUGCAGCUGUAAGAACCCAGCAAGGUGAAAUGAGCGAACCACCGCAAAGGAAACCAUAGCGCUUAUGGAAGAUAGCAGCCACCCAGGGGUGCGACUCGAUGGGUAUGAAUGAGCCACCCACAAUUUUAUUCAUCCUCCGCUCAGGCCUCUCGCCACACGUCUGCUCUGGAGGGAUACACAGGAUGAGUCAGUGAGUGCUGAUGAAAGGAAAUCAUAAAAAGAAAAGGAAAAAGGUGGGUUUAAAGAGCAAAACUACCUGUGUCCAUAGGUGGUGGAGGAGCUCUUGGUCUUACUGUUGGCCUAGAACCUGCAUUGGAGUAGAAAACAGACCACAUGAGAAAGAUCUAAAUCAAACAUGCAUUUUUUAAAAAGUCUAAUAUUGUAUAUAAAUAUAUUAGAAUAUAAAAAAAACACCAUAAAUUGCAAAUCUUUGUCUUACAUCUAGGAAUGUCACAGAAUUCCCUCACAAUCCUGCUUCGUCUUCGGACAAGGCACCAUGGCAUCAAACUGUAGUCGGGAUUCCUAGUGUUCAAGUACAAUGAUAGUAAACACAUGAUUGUUCUCUCUAACGGAUCCAGGCUUCAGAUUAGUGAAUAGAAUUAUACCUG